rnacentral:rRNA from 1 species
UACGUAGGGGGCUAGCGUUGUCCGGAAUCAUUGGGCGUAAAGCGCGUGUAGGCGGUCCGGUAAGUCCGCUGUGAAAGUCGGGGGCUCAACCCUCGGAUGCCGGUGGAUACUGUCGGGCUUGAGUACGGAAGAGGCGAGUGGAAUUCCUGGUGUAGCGGUGAAAUGCGCAGAUAUGUGGAGGAACACCGAUGGCGAAGGCAGCCCCCUGGGUUAACACUGACGCUCAUGCACGAAAGCGUGGGGAGCAAACAGG